rnacentral:rRNA from 1 species
GAUGAACGCUGGCGGCGUGCCUAAUACAUGCAAGUAGAACGCUGAAGGAGGAGCUUGCUCUUCUGGAUGAGUUGCGAACGGGUGAGUAACGCGUAGGUAACCUGCCUGGUAGCGGGGGAUAACUAUUGGAAACGAUAGCUAAUACCGCAUGACAACAGUUAUUGCAUGAUAACUGUUUAAAAGGGGCAACUGCUCCACUACCAGAUGGACCUGCGUUGUAUUAGCUAGUUGGUGAGGUAACGGCUCACCAAGGCGACGAUACAUAGCCGACCUGAGAGGGUGAUCGGCCACACUGGGACUGAGACACGGCCCAGACUCCUACGGGGGGCAGCAGUAGGGAAUCUUCGGCAAUGGACGGAAGUCUGACCGAGCAACGCCGCGGGAGUGAAGAAGGUUUUCGGAUCGUAAAGCUCUGUUGUAAGAGAAGAACGAGUGUGAGAGUGGAAAGUUCACACUGUGACGGUAUCUUACCAGAAAGGGACGGCUAACUACGUG